rnacentral:rRNA from 1 species
GACGAACGCUGGCGGCGUGCUUAACACAUGCAAGUCGAACGGAAAGGCCCUGCUUUUGUGGGGUGCUCGAGUGGCGAACGGGUGAGUAACACGUGAGUAACCUGCCCUUGACUUUGGGAUAACUUCAGGAAACUGGGGCUAAUACCGGAUAGGAGCUCCUGCUGCAUGGUGGGGGUUGGAAAGUUUCGGCGGUUGGGGAUGGACUCGCGGCUUAUCAGCUUGUUGGUGGGGUAGUGGCUUACCAAGGCCUUGACGGGUAGCCGGCCUGGGAGGGUGACCGGCCACAUUGGGACUGAGAUACGGCCCAGACUCCUACGGGAGGCAGCAGUGGGGAAUAUUGCACAAUGGGCGGAAGCCUGAUGCAGCAACGCCGCGUGCGGGAUGACGGCCUUCGGGUUGUAAACCGCUUUCGCCUGUGACGAAGCGUGAGUGACGGUAAUGGGUAAAGAAGCACCGGCUAACUACGUG